AUAUUUUCAGUAGAUCCACUCCAUAUGAAUUGUCACAUGAGAGCCUCCAAUCUUUUGAGCACAGAAACUGGUGCUCGGUGAAGUGAAAGAUAAUAGACUAAGAUGUUGGCCAUUGUGGAAUUGAUCAAGGUAAUCUUUCCUCCAAAGGAUAGAUAUCUAUUCUUCUAUCCAAUUAAUUUGUAUUUGAAUCUUUCCGCUAUAGGACCCCAAGCAAAUUUCGGCAAUCGACCAAUGCCAGGGGAGCCCCUAAGUGUACAACCCAUCCAAUUAGCCAAUUUAACAACUCACUCAGAACCGUUGAUUCUGAUAAUUUUGAUUUUAGGCAGAUUAGAUUUAGCCCCAGAGAUGAGUUCAUAGCAAUUGAGAAACAACCUAAUAUCAGUAGAUCUUCCUAAACCUACCUGUUAGAGGGUUUCUAUUUUAAUGUCUUUAAUGAGACAUUCAUUAUUCAUUAAUCAAAGUUUUAGUCAAGUUUUAGUAAAAUUUUUGAAAUGCGCUCUAAUUCGGUUGUGUAGAGAAUCGCACUUAAAUUUCAAAAGUAAAUAGUUUCAUUUAUACAUUUCCAAUGGAAAUCAACUGGAAAUGCUAUAAAUACGUUCAAUUAGAUUGAAAGUUUUUCUGACAUUCUUUUUAUGAUUUCUCACUACAGUAAACUGAAAAACCUCAUUUUUCCACCAUGAUCUCUCCAAAGUCUGUUUCCAUUGAGUUCUACAUCAACUCAAAACUGUUUUCUACUGAACAUGAAAGUGAAAGAGGGUUCAACGGUGCUUCAUUAGGCAUAGUUGUAUUCUAGAAGUGUACUCUUGAAGACUUGAUGUUUUUGGUUGAACCUUGUUUCUAUAUUCCGAAGUUCGAGUUUUAAUCUCAGCUGUGAACCUUGUAAUCACUCAAGUAAGAGCUCUAUACUCUAGUUGAACUCUGUGCGCUUUAUUGUACUUUAUACCAUGGAAGAGGUUUAUAGAUCUCUUACUCGGGUUAUGGAUUGCAAUUCUCACUCAACAUUAAAUAAAUAAAUAAAUAAAUAAAAAGAUUGCGAUUCUCAUUACAGUAAUGACCUGAUCGAUGGUCCUCGGUUAAGAUUAUAUGCCAAUUGAGAAACCAUUGAAUUUGGCUUUCGAUCACUCAAAAGCCAAUACGUAUUUCUUGAAACCAGUGCAAUUGUGCAAACUUCGUUUAUUUAUAGUGAUAUUUAUCAAGGAUGAAUUGUUCAACAUUUUCCAAAUUUGCAACUAUUCCAAGACCAUGUGUUAUUUCAUAAGUAUUUUGAAAUUAAAUCAAAAGAUAUGGAUAGAAUGUUAAAUUAUUCAACUCUUAUAGUAAUUUGAUAGUUUUUCCUUUUCUUCCACGCAACUGCAGCGCUAUUGGAUAGGUUCUUUACUCUCUUUUUUUUUUUUACCCUAAGCUUUAUCAAAGAAGCCAUGCAUUUAAGAAAAUCAAGAAAGCCAAAAAUAGUCCGAGAAAAUGAAAUCAAUAUUGAGGAAAAAAACAUUUACAUUCAUAACUCAUAUAAGAAGCAAGGAUAACCACCAUUCAACACUGAAAAGACUGGUUUUCAGUUUCCCUUGGGCCCUGCUUUCUUUUCAUUGCCUGAAUUUUUUACCUUCUUUUUAGCAGUGGCCCACCACCAUCUUCUUUCUUAGGCAUGUCAUGAUCUGCUGGUUUGUCGAGAGCCGUUGAUUGAAGGAGCUGAGUCCUGGGCCGUCGAUUGUAAGGAUGGGCCUGCUGUGGGCCCCCAAGAAAUGUGCCACUUUUCCCUUGGUUUUGACAGCGGCGAGGAUCUCGUCUUUGUUGCAAAUACUACCCACCUUCUGCAUUUUAAAAUCCACAAGGGUUGAUGCACGAUGCAAUAGCUAAAGAAUGCUCCCGAGGGAGCAUAGUGUAGAACAACUCCCUUGGGGCAAAAUAGAUACCUGGGAGGAUUUCAUUUAUCCGAAAUUUUCGCAUUCAACUAUUAUCACUAGAAUUUUAUUUUAAAAAAACAUUUGUACAUUUUGUGUUCUUGAACAUCUAGAUCUUUCUCUUAAAAAAUUAGGUGGUUCUUGUUCAAUGUUGGGGCGUCAAUUUUCUUAGGCACGUAGAUAGUGUGAAUAAUUUCGUUUUUCUUUGAGGCUGGUCAUUGGAUUUAUAUUCCAAAAUUUAGGAUUUCAAAAAUAUUUCCGGAGUGAAUUUUGCCCAAGGGAGUAAAUGGAUAGUAUGCUCCGGUAGGAGCAUGAAAUGUUUUCACAUCACACAUAAUACAAUUAAAUUGAGUGAUAUUUGUAUAAGGUUCCUCCUUGCAUUGUAUAAGGGUCGGAGACCUUAUGAUGGGUGCAACAUCUAUUAUUAUUUCAAGUUAUAAAAUUUAAAAUUUUAAAAAUAGUACCGAUGAUCGGGCAGUUUAUAAACACUAGAAAAUCUUAAUAAUAGACCGUCCAAAUAAUUUGUCAUAAGAAAUAUGAUUUUAGUACUUGAAAUUCUUUGUUUCUUCGUAACCAUACAUCUUCAAGUCAAGAUGAUCAAAUUGGAGGGUUUUCCUCUCUUCUAGAGGAUUUAUGAGGUGUAUCUUACAAGAUUGACACCUUCUAUAAACUUUUACAAAAUUGAUCGAUCCCUUUUAAGUAGAAGCAUGAUUCCUUCGCUUUUGAGAGGCAUUCAAAUUUAAAAGGAAAAAAGGCCAAACAAAAAAACGAGAGAAAGAUAUUGGUAUUACAAUCUAGUAGUAUUGUGCUUAUAAUGAAUUCGAGAAAAUUUCAAGUUCUUUAUUUUGCUCAUCUUUUUAGAUUGACCUUUUUUCGUUUUCUACCUUUGUGCAACAAAAAAAGAGGGAAAAAAACAAAGGGAUUGUGUACAAACAUACCACCAUUUUGAAAUUUAAAGGACAAAAAUAAUUGUGACGUCAGUUUACAAAAGAUAAAUGAUCUCGUUGUAAACAAUCCCAAAACAAAAGAUAAAUAAACAGAAUAAGUUAACAACAAAAUAAUUACCUUUGAAACGAGCCAGUGCUUUCUUUAUUUUGUUCCCACAACCAUAAGAAUAUUGAGGGACUUUCAUUUCUAUGUAUUGGGCCUCUACACCUUUGUGAGCAGAAACAAUCUGAAGACUCAUGUCCAUCUAUUUUCACUCUGUGUUCUCCAAUGCUGAAAUCUUAAUCCUUGCCAAAACCCCCCCAAAAAAUAAAAUAAAAUAAAAUAAAAUAGAAGAAAAUAAAUCCACAAACCUCUAAAAAAUGAGAAUGAU
rnacentral:lncRNA from 1 species